GAAGCUUCUUCUACUGGGCUCGGGAGUCUUUAAAGAUAAUCUUAUCUCUUCCGGGAUGGGAUCUGCUGUACCAAGAAGGUCGUUCCCAGGAUAGUUACAAAGAGCCAGUGCAGGUGUGUGUGUGUGAGGGUUCAGAGAGGGCAUGUGUGUGUGUAUGUAAGUGUGUGUGUGAGGGUGGCAGAGAGAGCCAGUGUGUAUGUGUGUGUGUGAUGGGUCAGAGAGGGCAUGUGGUUGAAUCCGGAAGAAAACAGGAUAAUAGUUGCAACAGUUGGGACGUUUCUUGUCUUAUCUGCGCUCAGUAGAUGUCUCCUGUGACUUUCCUGUUCAUAUCACUUGCAGCAAGGGAUCCCCUUCCCCCGACAUGGAGAGACCCCAUUCAUGGAGCGAAUUGGGGCCGGAAAGGAAGUUCACACCUGGCUCGGAGAGAAGGGGGUAGGAGACUGAGGCAUCCUGAGGACCCCUGCGAUGCCAUUCAGAGCAGGGGACAGAACAACGCAGAGGAAGAUGGAGAGAUGACUUUAAGGGUCAAGAGGCGUGGACACGCUUUCAACACCGACGGACAGACAGCUCAGCCAAUGAGUGGAUUAGGACUAAUGUUUUACCUAGACAGGUUAACCAAUGAGAAGUGAAUAUCUCCCCUGGGGCCGGGACGCCCGGGAGGUAUAAAAUAGUUGUUGACCAGAGAGACAAUGCUUUUUGACCUUUUGGAUGACGGCAGAGAUGCACUGCAUGCAGGUUAGCUGCAUGUAGGCCGUUGAUCCUGUGAGAAGCCCUCAAUUGAGGAUUAGAUUUAGUGAACUUGACUUCUGUUAGACAGUUAACUGCUUUGGCGGUCUGUGGACGCAGUGAUUCAUGCUCCCUCAGCUGAGUUAUACUCUGUAUCGCAACCGUUAUUGACCAUUGGUAAUAUUUUCAAUUAAACACCUUUUAUUAUA